rnacentral:hammerhead_ribozyme from 14 species
GAGGUGUCGGCCCUGAUGAGUCUGCGUGUUAAGAAACACGGUCACAAGACGAAACACCGA